CCUACGGGUGGCAGCAGUAGGGAAUCUUCCACAAUGGGCGAAAGCCUGAUGGAGCAACGCCGCGUGAGUGAAGAAGGUCUUCGGAUCGUAAAACCCUGUUGUUAGAGAAGAAAGUUCGUGAGAGUAACUGUUCACGUUUCGACGGUAUCUAACCAGAAAGCCUCGGCUAACUACGUGCCAGCAGCAGCGGUAAUACGUAGGUGGCAAGUGUUAUCCGGUUUUAUUGGGCGUAAAGGGAACGCAGGCGGUCUUUUAAGUCUGAUGUGAAAGCCUUCGGCUUAACCGGAAUAGUGCAUUGGAAACUGGGAGACUUGAGUGCGGAAGGGGAGCGUGGAACUCCAUGUGUAGCGGUGAAAUGCGUAGAUAUAUGGAAGAACACCAGUGGCGAAAGC
rnacentral:rRNA from 1 species